rnacentral:rRNA from 1 species
GACGUAGGUGGCGAACGUUAUCCGGAAUUAUUGGGCGUAAAGGGUGCGUAGGUGGUCUGACAAGUUAUCAGUGGCAAAUCGAGGCUCAACCUCGUGGAAACUGGUAAUACUGUUCGGCUUGAGUACAGGAGGGGUUAACGGAACUCUAUGUGGAGCGGUAAAAUGCACAGAUAUAUAGAAGAACAUCAAUAAAGGCGAAGGCAGUUAACUAUUCUGUUACUGACGCUGAGGCACGAAAGCGUGGGGAGCAAAACGG